CAGAUGGUGCCCACAGAACUUGUGGAGAAGGAGUUCUGGAGGCUGGUAAAUAGCAUUGAGGAAGAUGUGACUGUUGAGUAUGGAGCUGACAUCCAUUCCAAAGAAUUUGGCAGCGGUUUCCCUGUCAGUGACAGUAAACGGCACCUAACCCCCGAAGAGGAGGAGUAUGCUACCAGUGGUUGGAACCUAAAUGUGAUGCCGGUGUUGGAACAGUCUGUACUGUGCCACAUCAAUGCAGAUAUCUCUGGCAUGAAGGUGCCCUGGCUCUACGUGGGCAUGGUCUUCUCAGCCUUUUGCUGGCAUAUUGAGGAUCACUGGAGUUACUCCAUUAACUACCUCCACUGGGGUGAGCCGAAGACCUGGUAUGGGGUGCCCUCACUUGCAGCAGAACAUUUGGAAGAAGUGAUGAAGAAGCUGACACCUGAACUAUUUGAUAGCCAGCCUGACCUCCUGCACCAACUUGUCACCCUCAUGAAUCCCAACACCCUCAUGUCCCAUGGUGUGCCAGUUGUCCGCACAAACCAGUGUGCAGGAGAAUUUGUCAUCACCUUCCCCCGUGCUUACCACAGCGGCUUCAACCAAGGCUACAACUUUGCCGAGGCUGUCAACUUUUGCACUGCUGACUGGUUGCCUGCUGGGCGCCAGUGCAUUGAGCACUACCGCCGGCUCCGGAGAUACUGCGUCUUCUCCCAUGAGGAGCUUAUCUGCAAGAUGGCUGCCUGCCCAGAGAAGCUAGACCUAAACCUGGCGGCAGCUGUGCAUAAGGAGAUGUUCAUCAUGGUGCAAGAAGAGCGGCGUCUACGAAAGGCCCUGCUGGAGAAGGGUAUCACAGAGGCUGAGCGAGAGGCUUUCGAGCUGCUCCCAGAUGAUGAGCGCCAGUGUAUCAAGUGCAAGACUACGUGUUUCCUGUCAGCCCUGGCCUGCUACGACUGCCCAGACGGCCUUGUCUGCCUUUCCCACAUCAAUGAUCUCUGCAAGUGCUCUAGUAGCCGGCAGUACCUGCGGUAUCGGUAUACCUUGGAUGAGCUUCCUGCCAUGCUGCAUAAGCUGAAGGUUCGGGCUGAGUCCUUUGACACCUGGGCCAACAAAGUGCGAGUGGCCCUGGAGGUGGAGGAUGGGCGGAAGCGCAGUGAGUGAUGGGGGGGAUGGAGGGACUCCACAGGCAAGUUCUAUUCCCUUUCUUCUGUACUCUGACCCCCUUCCUCUGCCUCUAUUCAAUACUGCCUACUCUUUGCUGCCCUCAUUUUUCUUCCAGGCCUUGAAGAACUGAGGGCACUAGAGUCUGAAGCCCGUGAGCGGAGGUUUCCUAAUAGUGAGCUGCUGCAGCAACUAAAGAACUGCCUGAGUGAGGCAGAGGCUUGCGUGUCCCGAGCUCUGGGACUGGUCAGCGGCCAGGAAGCUGG
rnacentral:sRNA from 1 species